UGUCCAGUAGCACCUUAGAGACCAACUAAGUUUGUUCUGGAUAUAAGCUUUCAUGUGCAUGCACACUUCUUCAAGCUUAUACCCAGAACAAACUUAGUUGGUCUCUAAGGUGCUACUGGACA
rnacentral:miRNA from 1 species